UUAUAGCCCAGAUAGAAAUGAAAAGUUUUUUAUUGUAGCAUAGCCUUUUUUUGUAGACGUACAAAAGCGCCCUUUGGAAGCUCUUUUUACGACUUACAAAAAUGGUUAUGCUGUAAAAAAAUUGAAAUGAAUAGCUGGAAAUAGC
rnacentral:sRNA from 1 species